rnacentral:rRNA from 1 species
AAUAUUGGACAAUGGGCGAAAGCCUGAUCCAGCCAUGCCGCGUGUGUGCAGAAGGUCUUCGGAUUGUAAAGCAAUUGAAGUUGGGAGGAAUGGUUGUAGGUUAAUACCCUGCAAUCUUGACGUUACCAACAGAAUAAGUACUGGCUAACUUCGUGCCAUCCACCGCGGUAAUACGAAGGGAGCAAGCGUUAUCCGGAUUUACUGGGCGUAAAGCGCGCGUAGUUGGUUCGUUAAGUUGGAAGUGAAAGCCCCGGGCUCAACCUGGGAACUGCAUCCAAAACUGGCGAGCUAGAGUACGGUAGAGGGUGGUGGAAUUACCUGUGUAGCGGUGAAAUGCGUCGAUAUAGGAAGGAACACCAGUGGCGAAGGCGACCACCUGGACUGAUACUGACACUGAGGUGCGAAAGCGUGGGGAGCAAACAGG